rnacentral:rRNA from 1 species
CUAGUUGGUAAGGUAACGGCUUACCAAGGCAACGAUGCAUAGCCGACCUGAGAGGGUGAUCGGCCACACUGGAACUGAGACACGGUCCAGACUCCUACGGGAGGCAGCAGUAGGGAAUCUUCCGCAAUGGGCGAAAGCCUGACGGAGCAACGCCGCGUGAGUGAUGAAGGUCUUCGGAUCGUAAAACUCUGUUAUUAGGGAAGAACAUAUGUGUAAGUAACUGUGCACAUCUUGACGGUACCUAAUCAGAAAGCCACGGCUAACUACGUGCCAGCAGCCGCGGUAAUACGUAGGUGGCAAGCGUUAUCCGGAAUUAUUGGGCGUAAAGCGCGCGUAGGCGGUUUUUUAAGUCUGAUGUGAAAGCCCACGGCUCAACCGUGGAGGGUCAUUGGAAACUGGAAAACUUGAGUGCAGAAGAGGAAAGUGGAAUUCCAUGUGUAGCGGUGAAAUGCGCAGAGAUAUGGAGGAACACCAGUGGCGAAGGCGACUUUCUGGUCUGUAACUGACGCUGAUGUGCGAAAGCGUGGGGAUCAAACAGGAUUAGAUACCCUGGUAGUCCACGCCGUAAACGAUGAGU